rnacentral:rRNA from 1 species
GGUGAACGCUGGCGGCGUGCUUAAGACAUGCAAGUCGAACGGCAGUCUUCGGACUGUAGUGGCGCACGGGUGAGUAACGCGUAACUGACCUACCCCAAGGUCGCGGAUAACGAUUCGAAAGAAUCGCUAAUACGUGAUGUGCUGUCAGAUUGUGUUCUGCCAGUAAAGAUUGAUUGCUUUGGGAUGGUAGGUUGCGUUCCAUCAGCUAGUUGGUGGGGUAAAGGCCCACCAAGGCGACGACGGAUAGCCGACAUGAGAGGGUGGCCGGACACAGGGGAACUGGGACAAGGGUCCCAAGCAUUCGGGAGGAAGCAGUGAGGAAGCUUCCACAAUGGGCGAAAGCCUGAUGGAGCGACGGCGCGUGAGGGAUGAAGGUCUUCGGAUCGUAAACCUCUGAAUCAGGGACGAAAGACACUUCGGUGGGAUGACGGUACCUGAGUAAUAGCACCGGCUAACUCCGUGCCAGCAGCCGCGGUAAAAC